UCCUGUAACAGCCUCCUAAAGACCUUCACAGCCAUGACCCCAGAGCAUCACUGCUGGCCAGCCAACUGGACCAAUGGGUCCCCUGUCCCGGAUGGGACAGCUUUGUGUUGACACUGUAGCUUGAAAAAUAACAGCUUUGUUCUGACACUGAAGGUCAAGAGAUAACAGCCUUGCUUUACUCUUGUACAUUACGCUUCAUACUCUUGUAAAUCAGGCUUCACCAACUAAAGACACAAAAGUUCAAAGGGGAUGGGGACCGGCUGAGAGUCUUCAUCCCGCUGGACAAGGACCAGAAGCCUGAGCGAUGCCUGAGGUCCUCCGAGCCCCCCUGGCAGAUCGUAAACCUCAGAGACUCCUCCUUCCUGAGUCCGGACACCGAGCCCUGCCUGGAUGGGUGGGUGUCCGAGUAAUGUGUUGACUCGUCGAUCGUUUCUGAGGGGAGGCAAAGCCAGAGCCAAGUGCUGAGCCUUCUGGUGAUUUUUUUUUUGUUGAUUUGUUUUACUUUAAUCAAGAUAUAACUUAACUCCAUUAAAUGCUCAAAAUUUAAGUGUGCAGCUGAGUAAGUUUUACACACGUAAACACCAGAUCCAGAUACAGAUGAUUUCCGGGACCCCAGCAGUCUCCCUCGCAGCCCUCUACGUCAUUACUGGAUCCCCGCUAUAACCGCCAUUCAGACCUCUAUCAUCAUCCGUUGGUUCUGCUUAUGUUUGAACUUCACGCCAGUGGAAUUGUACGGUAUGCGCUCUUUCGUGUGUUGGGAUUUUUUUGCACUCAUUACAGGUUUUUAGGAGUCAUCCGUGGUGAUAUAUGCUUUGGGAGUUGGUUCUUUCUCAGUGCUGCAAAGCAUUCCAUUGUACGAAUGUACCACAGUGUAUAUAUCCAUUCUCCUCUUGAAAUACAUCUGUGCUGUCUCCAGGUUGGGGCUAUUAUGAACAUCAUGGUCAUGAACAUUCUUGUACAAGUAUUUGGGUGGACACAGCCACUCAUUUGUGCUGGGUGUAUGCCCAGGGGUGGGCGUGUAGGAUCACAGAGUGGCCCCAGAUUCUGCCAAGCAGUUUUCUAAGUGUGUAAGACGUUCAGACGUGUCUGAUUGCCUCAUCUCCUUUCCCACACCUGGUCCAACUGUAAGGGUUAAAUUGUAGUGUAGGGCUAAUGCAUAGCUUGAAAGAUAACAGCUUUGUGUUGACACUGUAGCUUGAAAAAUAACAGCUUUGUUCUGACACUGAAGGUCAGGAGAUAACAGCCUUCCUUGCUUUACUCUUGUACAUUACGCUUCAUACUCUUGUAAAUCGGGCUUCACCAACUAAGGAAACAAAAGUUCAAAGAAAAGAGCGUCAGAGGCAAGGUCAAGGAGAUCCACUGGUUGCAACUUAGCGGCAGAAAGUCUAAAAUAAUCACCUCAUUCAGCAACUGUUUCUAACUCAUCUGGGAACUGUUUCUCUGUUCUGUUCCCGGGUGAUGAUAAAACGAUGUGAUCGGCCAUAAAAACUCUGUACCCUGGCUGUUCGAGGCCACGCUCUGAUCAAGAGUGUUGGUCCCCAUCGGUCGGCCUUGCCUCUCAUUGCAAUAAACUUUGUUGUGACUGUCACUGGUGCCCGUAGCAUUCUGUUUCAGGAGUCGUGUGGAUGCAACAUUCGGUGCAUUGGCCGGGAAAGUGAAAGGUCUGAAACAGGGCCCUUUCCUCGGACUGCUCCGCCGACCCCUGGGAGGAGGCUUGGGAUUGGGAGAGGCACGAAGACCAAAUCCCAUACAUUGGAGCAUGGAGAACCCUCAUUGAAAACCCUCCAGAUUGGUUAAAACUUCUCCUUCCCCAUCCCCCUCGCCUCCCUAAAGUACAGGCUUUGCUGCUCAAAGGCCGGCCAUUUGGAGCUCUCUUGAUGGGACUAAGCAGCCACCCCCUCUAUCACUUGCACCGGAGGAAGAAAAAGAAACUUACCACCCGCCGCCCUAUAGUUCUCGCCCAAAGAAUAUGGGUCAAGAUGCUUCAGAUCAGGAGGCAAGCCCGAGUCGGGACACUCCCCUGAGCCCGUCUCACACCUGGUCAGGGACUCCCUUCCAUCCCCCUCCCGCUGCCCGACCCCUUUGUCCAAGGCCACCCCUGCAGGGUGAUGUCCGACCCUUUAUGACUUAUGUACCCUUCUCCACUAGCGACCUUUACAAUUGGAAGCUUCGAGACCCCUCGUUCUCAGAGAAACCCCAAGCAUUAAUUUCUCUCCUUGAAACUCUAUUUGUGACCCAUCAGCCAACCUGGGACGACUGCCAGCAUCCGUUGCAAGUUCUCUUCACCACUGAGGAGCGAGACAAGAUCCGUCGCGAGGCCCAGAAAUUAGUGAUGGGACCAAACGGGCAACCCACCGAGGAUCCCGCUGUAGUCGAGGAAGUCUUUCCUUCCUCCCAUCCUGAAAAUCGGGACCCAAACACUCCUCACGGUAGGCGAUCAUUGACCCUAUUUCGCCAGACUCUACUGGGAGGUCUCCGAGCGGCCGCCCGCCGGCCCACAAACAUGUCUAAGGUAACAGAAGUCAUGCAGGGGACCGAGGAAACCCCUCGGCCUUCUUAGAAAGGCUCAUGGAGGCCUUGAGGCACCUGAAAACAGAAGAGCAUUAAAUCUGGCCUUUGUCUCACAGGCCGCCCCAGACAUUCGGAAAAAGUUACAAAACUUUGAUGGGUUGAAAGGAAAAAAUUUAUCUGAGUUAGUUGAGAUAGCCCAAAACGUUUUUAACAGUAGGGAUUCUCAGGAAGAAAGACAGACACAAAAAUUGACUAGGGUGGUGACGCCCGUCCUGGAUGCCCGCGAGGGAAGAGGACCCCAAACACCCGAAGAAUUCUGGUCUGGGCCAAAGAAAAAAGACAGACAAAGGGUUAGAGCGCCACUAGGAAAAAACCAAUGUGCAUAUUGCAAACAAGAGGGACACUGGAAGAAGGAUUGCCCCAACUUAGCCCAACGCAAAACUCGGCCACCCCAGGUAUCUGUGAGGAGAGUCAAUUUCGACUGACGGGGCCGCGGCUCGGUGGCCCCUUCUGAGCCUUUGGUUACUGUUAAUAUAGGGGGCCAGCCUAAGACUUUCUUGGUGGACAUUGGGGCAGCCUUUUCAGUUCUAAAACAAGAUCCUGGCCCCACCAGGCGAGGAGCAACCCUGGUGCAAGUCUGGGUCCCAGACUUGUAAAUGGACCACUGAACGACAAGUAGAUUUCGGCCGUAAAACUGUCACACAUUCUUUCCCAAUCAUGCCUGAAUGCCCCUGCCCUGGAUUACUAGGUAGAGACCUACUACAUUAACUAACGGCUUCUUUGAAAUUCACUAAAGGGGGUAUGCAUAUUAAAGUCGGCCAGGAUGGCCCAACAACCGUAAUGGUGACUGUGCCACUUGGGGAAGAGGACCUGCUCACUCCGGUGCCUAAUGGAAGUGUCCAUGCAGUCGAUCCCCUCCUCAAAAGCCUCCAGGCGGGCUUUCCCCAGGUAUGAGCUGAGACCAAUUCACCCGGGGCUGGCGAUUCAUCAAGCUCCGGUAAUAGUGGAACUUAAGGCAUCCGCGCUUCGGGUAAGACUAAUAUCCCACGUCCCGGGAGGCUCGGCGGGGAAUCGCCGUUCACAUCAAGUGUUUGCGCGACUCCGGCAUUUUGAUCCCAUGCAAGUCGCCAUGGAACAUUCCGCUUCUCCCUGUCCGGAAGCCUAACUCAUCCGAUUUCCGGCCAGUUCAGGACCUAAGAGCAGUAAACGCCAGGGCAAUGGACAUUCAUCCCACUGUACCCAACCCUCAUACUCUCCUUAGUUUGCUUCCCCCUUCUCAGGUGUAUUAUAUACAGUUCUGGACUUAAAAGAUGCCUUCUUUGCCAUCCCGCUGGCCCCACAAAGCCAGCCACUAUUUGCAUUUGGAUGGACUGAGCCUGAAGAGGGAAAAUCCGGACAGCUCACCUGGACGUGACUCCCCCAGGGAUUUAAAAAUUCUCCUACUCUUUUCAAUGAGGCCCUGCACCAGGAUUUAGAGCCAUUUCGAAUCUCCAACCCGCAGGUAACUCUAUUGCAAUAUGUUGAUGAGAUCUUGUUGGCGGCCCCCUGUCAUUUAGGAUGCCUGAAGUGCCACCAAAGGACUCUUGAGUCUUCUGCGAAAACUGGGGUACCGAGGGUCAGCCAGAAAAGCGCAGAUCUGUCGUGCUGCGGGGACCUAUUUAGGUGACAACCUUAAACAAGGUAAGCGCUAUCUCGGUGAACAAAGGAUUCGGGCUAUACUCGAUAUUCCUCAGCCUAGAACUCGCAAACAAGUCCGCGAGUUCCUUGGGGCGGCAGGCCAUUGCAGACUAUGGAUACCUGGCUUUGCUGAACAGGCAGCCCCUUUGUAUGCCGCUCUCAAGGGGUCUCUGGAGUCCUUCACAUGGGGGGAGACUCAAACUAAAGCCUUCCAGGCCUUACGAGAUGCUCUCACGACCCCACCGGCCUGGGCCCUGCCAGAUCCCACCAAGCCAUUCCAUUUGUUUGUAGCCGAAAAAGGGGGGGGGGGGUAGCCAGAGGAGUUCUGACUCAGCGCCUGGGAACUUGGCGCCAACCGGUGGCCUAUUUAUCCAAACGGCUGGACCCAGUUGCUUCCGGGUGGCCCCCAUGCAUUCGACAAAUUGCCGCCACCGCGCUCCUAGUUAAAGCCGCAGACAAACUAACCUUGGGGCAGGCAUUGUCUGUCACGGGGCCCCAUGAAGCGGAGGCUUUGCUGCAGGCUCCCCCAGAGCGAUGGCUGUCAAAUGCUCGGAUUACCCAAUAUCAAGCAUUGCUCCUCGACCGGCCCCGAAUACGUCUUUGUGCCCCCGCGGCCUUAAACCCAGCCACUUUGCUGCCCGUAGGACAAGGUCCCCCUCUGCACUCUUGCCCAGAAACCUUGGCGAUGAUCUCGUCCCUCCGCUCCGAUCUUAUGGACGUUCCCUUACAGGACCCUGAUAUCAACAGGACCCUGAUAUCAGCAUGUUUUCAGGCGGCAGUGGUUUUGUGUUUCAAGGACAAAGGCGUGCCCGCGCUGCAGCGAUGACAGACCGCGAGGUUCUAUGGCAACAGACCCUCCCCCCGGGAACUUCAGCCCAGCGCGCAGAGCUCAUCGCGCUAACAAAAGCCCUAAAACUCGAAAGAAACAAGGCAGUUAAUAUUUAUACGGACCGCCGCUAUGCUUUUGCCCCGCCCAUGUGCACGGAUCCAUUUAUCAAGAGCGCAGCCUCCUCACGACGGAAGGCAAGGCCGUCAAAAACAAAUCGAAAAUUUUAGACCUUCUGGCUGCCAUCUGGGAACCUGCAAAACUGGCGGAUCAUUCAUUGCCGGGGACAUCAAAAAGGCGCCUCCCUGGAGGCAGUCGGAAACCGCCUGGCUGAUGCAGCAGCCCGAGAAGCUGCCCUAACUAAAAGUGAAAGUGCCUUGCAGCUACCGAUCUUGACCGGUCCUGCUUCCCCUGGAGCCCAGUUGCACUCCUAAAGAUUUGGAGUGGGUUUCCAGAAAAGGAGGGAAGUAAGAUGCUGGGACAAAAGUGGUUUCAGGAUCCUGAAGACCUCCACCUAUCCUGCCGAGGCUAGGAGACGACGUAACGGAACAGUUGGAACAGGACCGCUUGCUGGCCUCACUCGUGGCCCUGCAACAUGUACAGAAGGAAAUAACCAGGGCCUUGAGAGAAGCCUUCGCUCAUCCUCCUGUUCUUCCCCACCCCUUUCAACCAGGAGACUUAGUCUGGGUCAAGAGGCACGAGCCUAAAACCCUGGAGCCACGCCGGAAAGGACCGCACGCUGUGAUCCUGACUACACCCACGGCCGUGAAGAUAGACAGUGUCCGAACCUGGAUUCAUCACUCUCAGGUCAAGAAAAACUGCGUGAAGGCGGGAACACCCCCAGACUGAUACGGAACCGGAUAACGAACACAAUGGAAGGUCCGAAGGCACCCAGAGGAUCCUUUAAAGCUGAGACUGAUGCGGGCGUAAUAAUAAUAAUUGUCUGGGUUUGUAUAGUGGUAAGCGUGGGGGACUGUACGGAAUUGCAUCCCCUAUCUUUUUGGCCAUACCAAGGGGAACUCAGGGACACUGUCACAGGGUAGGUGAUAGCAUCUAAUACCUCUUCCACUGUGCCUCGUUUUUUGUUUGAUUUAUGCGACUUGGUGGGGGACUCAUGGGGGACUUUAAUUACUAAUUAUAAACAGCCAACGGGCUUUGCUCCUCCGGUCCCCAAAAACCCCUAUAUGGUUACGUAUGGAUGUGGACACAGGGAUCGAGAACAAAAAUUGGCUGACAUACCAGGGUUAUACAGUUGCCCUGCAAAUAGAAACGUCGAAUGCGAAGGAAAAGGCCAAUACCAUUGUGCAAAAUGGGGUUAUGAAACACUGGCUCCCUGGCUGGCGGGACAGGGCCAUGACCCCUUAACCACCCUCCUUAGAACUCCAGAUCCCAAAUGUAAGACCCAAGGAAAAGGCAACCCAACAAAAAUGUGUUUAAAAAAGGUUUCUAGUUCCCGUACCUUUUCCUCUUCCUGGGACACUGGAUACGCUUGGGGUCUCAGGAUGUCCGCUCCAAGGGUUGACAAAGGCAUUUCCUUUACUAUACAAAGGGUUAAAAAAAAAAAACCUCCACCCAAUCCGGUAGAGCCAAACAAGGACAUGAUUUUACACCCCCCCCCCCCGCUCUUUCCGACUGUCCCUUCCCAACCUACCCUGCGAUCGGAUGCCCCCACAAAGUCAGAAUUACCAACUUCAGGUCAUAUCCAGAACUCAUUCUCCCCUGAGACGCAUUGGCUAAAUGCAGUAGAUUCUCUGUAUGCUUGGCUAAAUUCAUCUCACGCCGAGAUUGUACAAGACUGUUGGCUGUGUUUAAACCCUAACCCCCAUAUUAUGUGGGAAUGGCUACAAAUGCCAGCAUUAGACAAGACAUAGAAAAGCAUGCCAUAAAAUUGCUAAAUCCAAGCAUGUCAUUGUCCCCUUGGGGUUCACAACCAAUUUUAACCCUAGGAGACCUCCAAGGACAGGGUUGGUGCAUAGUGUCCCGAGAAUAUAAUUCCACUCCUAGUGGGAUUGGGAAUUGCGGGACCCACAGCUAUUGGAACUGCUGGACUCAUUGUGGGGGACCAAAAUUUCAAAACUGUAAGCGAGCAAGUGGACCGAGACCUAGGCUACUUGGAAACCUCAAUUUCUCGGCCGGAACACCAACUAGACUCUUUAGCCGAGGUUGUAUUACAAAACAGAAGAGGGCUUGAUUUACUCUUCAUGAAGGAAGGGGGCUUCUGCGUGGCCCUCGGAGAAACGUGCUGUUUUUAUGCGAACAAUUCCAGAGUAAUCCGAGACACUCUCAAUUUGGUCAGGGAUAAUCUUAGGACCAGGGAACGUGCCUUGGAGGCCAGCGAUAAUUGGUAUCCGAGUUUAUUCUCUUGGUCCCCCUGGCUCACAUCACUGCUCACCGCCGUAGCUGGGCCACUGCUAUUGUUACUUCUCGGGUUAACUAUCGGCCCGCGCAUUAUCAAUUGGUUAGAACAGUAGGUCAAGAGGCGAGUUGGUGAAGCAAAAAUAAUGAUUAGGUCCAACUAUGUCCCCUUAGUUCCUAACGAUGAAUCAAGGGAUUGAUUCACUGACAAGAAAAGGGGGAAAUGUAAGGGUUAAAUUGUAGUGUGGGGCUAAUUGUAGCUUGAAAAAUAACAGCUUUGUUCCCACACUGAAGGUCAAGAGAUAACAGUCUUGCUUUACUCUUGUACAUUACGCUUCAUACUCUUGUAAAUCGGGCUUCACCAAUGAAGGAAACAAGCGCUCAAAGAAAAGAGUGUCAGAGGCAAGGUCAAGGAGAUCCACUGGUUGCAACUUAGCAGCAGAAAGUCUAAAAUAAUCACCUCAUUCAGCAACUGUUUCUAACUCAUCUGGGAACGGUUUCUCUGUUCUGUUCCCAGGUAAUGAUAAAACGAUGUGAUCGGCUUUAAAAACUCUGUACCUCUGCUGUUUCGGGGCCACAAUCGGUCGGCCUUGCUUCUCAUUGGAAUAAAUUUUGUUGUGACUGUCA